ACGAACGCUGGCGGCGUGCUUAACACAUGCAAGUCGUACGGUAAGGCCCUUUCGGGGGUACACGAGUGGCGACCGGGUGAGUAACACGUGAGUAACCUGCCCACAACUUUGGGAUAACGCUAGGAAACUGGUGCUAAUACUGGAUAUGUGCUCCUGCUGCAUGGUGGGGGUUGGAAAGCUCCGGCGGUUGUGGAUGGACUCGCGGCCUAUCAGCUUGUUGGUGGGGUAGUGGCCUACCAAGGCGGCGACGGGUAGCCGGCCUGAGGGGGUGACCGGCCACAUUGGGACUGAGAUACGGCCCAGACUCCUACGGGAGGCAGCAGUGGGGAAUAUUGCACAAUGGGCGCAAGCCUGAUGCAGCAACGCCGCGUGCGGGAUGACGGCCUUCGGGUUGUAAACCGCUUUCAGCAGGGACGAAGCUUUUUGUGACGGUACCUGCAGAAGAAGCACCGGCUAACUACGUG
rnacentral:rRNA from 1 species